UGCAUUGUCGAACCUGGAACAAUGCUUGUUUGGGUUACCUUCCAAGAGAAUCUACGUGUGUAGGUGUGGGAUGUUGUUUUUUCCCGACAAGUGGAAUAAUUGGGAGAGCCCUGUUGGUCCUGUAGUGCCAAUAAUUCUAUCCUAUGUUGUUCUUUCAUGGACGCCAUGUCCUGCUCCAUUUUAUCUUGCAUCUGACCCAGGACGUUCUUCAUUGUUUUUUGCAAGUUGUCAUUGCUCUUUCGGAGAAGAGCUUUUAGUUGUUGGUUUGUGUUACU
rnacentral:lncRNA from 1 species